UACAGAGGUGGCAAGCGUUGUUCGGAAUUAUUGGGCGUAAAGAGCUCGUAGGCGGUUUGUCGCGUCUGCUGUGAAAACUCGGGGCUUAACUCCGGGCCUGCAGUGGGUACGGGCAGACUAGAGUGCGGUAGGGGAGACUGGAAUUCCUGGUGUAGCGGUGAAAUGCGCAGAUAUCAGGAGGAACACCGGUGGCGAAGGCGGGUCUCUGGGCCGUAACUGACGCUGAGGAGCGAAAGCGUGGGGAGCGAACAGG
rnacentral:rRNA from 1 species